GUGUUUCCCGCCUUCUCUGCCUGCGCAGCAGCAGCCGCAGCCGCAGCCGCAGCCGGCGCUGAGGCGAAGCGCAGGAAGUACCUGUGGUAAUGCUUCUGAGGAGGAUUUUCGGCGGUGCAAAAGUGGCGCGGGUUAAGAUGUGCUGCAGACUCGCUCCUCGGUCUUGGCGCCCACCAUUGGACUUACUUAGGUGCUGUACAGGCAAGCCGGCCAUUGCCGUGGGCUAUCCCAGGGCUUCAGCGCCGAAAAGGGCCAUGUGGACCUCAUUUUUCCUUUGGUAAAGAGGAUUUAAUCUGUGAGAGACAGCCAACUGCCCACCUUCAUCCUGGUCAUGGCCAAAGGCACCGGACUCCAGCUCAAAGAUGAGGUGGCAAGAACAGAAGAUGAAGAUGGCCUGUUGUCAUUUCAGUCAGAGUUAGACAUGGGGAAAAGGCUAAAGUUUACACCAGAAGGUGGGUUCCCUGGAGCUCCUAGGCACCAGAGCCAGUUCACCUAGAGAUGGCUAGGAGCCAAGGUGACACCCACAGUCCUCAGAGAAAGGUCUUGUCACUGAGGGAUGGUUCACAUCCUUGCUGAUAGCUAUUUACCUGAACUUUUGGGCACUCUUGUCUAGAGGGUGGUAUCUCCAGGAAGGGGGUUGAAGAAAUAGGAUGGAGGGUUGAGAUAGAAGAACAUAGACAAACAGUGUGAACGAAGACAAAGUUGAGCCCCCUGUCAAACAAACAGGUCUGGGCUUCUGAACAGGAGUAGCCUAGAUAAGCCCUUGAAAUAAUGGUGAGCUGGGCGUGGUAGCACACACCUUUAAUCCCAGAACUUGGAAGGCAGAGGCAAGACUAGCCUGGUUUACACUAUAAGACCCUAUCUCAAGAUAACCCCCACUACAAUCACCCUUGGGCCAAAGAUAACUUCUGAUGGCUUAAUCACCCAGCUAUAGGAGCAUUUUCCCUUAUAUGGAUAAAGAUUUCGU
ensembl:processed_transcript Gm16091 predicted gene 16091